AUGAAAAGAGUGAGGCCAGAGGUGAAAAAGGAAAGAAAAAUGUGCUAAAAAUUCUGGUGUGGUUGAAAAAGAAAGAAAAGGUCUAGAAAUGAAAAAAAAAUCAGGAAAAGAGAGUAAAAGAAAAGAAAAGACCUGAAAUUAAAUUCAAAAGAAAGAAACGAUCAGAGAAAGAUAAAAGAAAAAUUAGCUGGCCACAAAGCUUGAGAAAGAAUGCACUAAGUUCUAGUUUUUACCCUUCUUCUUCAUACUUCUCUGUUUCAUUCCAGUUCUCAUUCUUCUCUAUUAUUCCAUUUCAUUCCAUGAACAUUACAAGCAAAUAAAGACCUAUUGAUUUAGAGAAACCUGGAGUAAAGCACUGUCAUUUAGAGUCUCUUCAAAGUUGUGAAUGGUAGUUGGCAUGACAUGAUAGAGUGAAACAGGAUUGCCG
rnacentral:lncRNA from 1 species